GCCGAGGGGCCCGGUGCCCCUGGAGAUACAGCGCCCGGGAAAUGCUCGCAGUGCCGCCGCGGUCCACGUUAUCUCAGACUGUCUGAAGAAAUGAAACCCAGGAAUGGUUAGAACUCCUGCACACCCGCACAGUCCUGUGGGGAAGGCAAGGUUAGGGGCUUCGUAGCGCGUAUUUUGAAAACUUGCCUUGAAAGAUAGCGCUUUUGCCGGAAUUGUGUCGUACCAUCGUAGAUUGUUAGGGGGCUGGCAUGAACCUUAAAACGCCACACAGAUUCCAUCCCCGUAUUCCCGCCGUGGGCCGGGACAUCUCCCGCUAGACCAGGUUGUUCAAGGCCUUACCCGCCGUGGCCUUAAACACUGCCAGGGUCGGGGUAUCUGCAGCGUCCCUGGGCAGCCUGUUGCAGUGCCUCACUACUGGCACUGUAAAGAUUUUUUCCCAAAUAUCUAACCUAAAUUUUCCCUCUUUCAAUUUGUACUCAUUACUUCUUGUUCAGUCACUACAAUUCCUGACUAAGAGUCCCUCUCCAGCUUCCCUGUGGGCCUCCGUCGGAUACUAUAAGGUUGUUAUGAGGUCUCCACACACCGUCUUUGUAGGUGAGGUGCUCCAGUUUGCUUCGUGCCCCUUCUCUGGACGCGCUCCAGCAGUUCCAUGCCCUUGUUAUGUUGGGGACACCAAAACUGAAUGCAGCACUCCAGGUAGGGGUUUCACAAGAACAGAGGGGCAGAAUCACCACCUUAGACCCGCUGGCCACACUGUUUUUGUUGCUGCCCUGGAUUUUACCUAUGUUAAAUAGGAUGAAAGGUGCAUACUUCUUUUACAUUGGUAAUAAAGCAUUCAGUUAAUCUGUAACAUAAUACUGUUUUGUAGUCUUUAGCAGCCAGUAAAUAUGCUCUGUUAAUUUGUCACUGUAACUACUUCUGAUGUGUCUGUUCGUUUGUAUAUUAGGGAUAUGUUUGCUAAACCAAACAGCAGAGCGUUUUCUGUCGUUGCCCGUUUUUUGUUUACUAAGCUGGAUAAGCACCGUGCAAGACAACUUUUCAAACAAUCUGGACUCAGAAAACUACCAAGUCCUAGAUUUAGGAAGCAGUGCUGGACGUGGCUAAGAGAAAUUUCAGUGAGUAUUAUGAAAAAUGGAAGUUGAUGCUCUGCAG